rnacentral:rRNA from 1 species
GACGAACGCUGGCGGCGUGCUUAACACAUGCAAGUCGAACGGAAAUGCCCUGCUUUUGUGGGGUGCUCGAGUGGCGAACGGGUGAGUAACACGUGAGUAACCUGCCCUUGACUUUGGGAUAACUUCAGGAAACUGGGGCUAAUACCGGAUAGGAGCUCCUGCUGCAUGGUGGGGGUUGGAAAGUUUCGGCGGUUGGGGAUGGACUCGCGGCUUAUCAGCUUGUUGGUGGGGUAGUGGCUUACCAAGGCUUUGACGGGUGGCCGGCCUGAGAGGGUGACCGGCCACAGUGGGACUGAGAUACGGCACAGACUCCUACGGGAGGCAGCAGUGGGGAAUAUGGCACAAUGGGCGGAAGCCUGAUGCAGCAACGCCGAGUGCGGGAUGACGGACUUCGGGUUGUAAACCGCUUUCGCCUGUGACGAAGCGUGAGUGAAGGUAAUGGGUAAAGAAGCACCGGCUAACUACGUG